UUCAUGUUCGGUUAAAAUCAAACGGACAUUCUGAAAAAUCGAUAAACUAUUCUUUUUAAUUUCUGUAUAUAUUUUUUUUAUUAACCAUGGAUACCUCAAAAUUGGUGCAAGUUAUGAAUCAAAGGAAUCUCACAAGUCUUAGAGAACCUAGGGGCUUUAUAAAAUUGAUACAAAUUAUAUUAGCCAUAUUCGCUUUCGCCACCACCACCGGACAUCGAUCGUAUUUCACUUUCCAAGUCACCUGUAAUAACAGUGUAGUCAAAAUCAUGAAAGGAAUUUUCCAUUAUCCAUACAAGUUUAA